CACACACACACACACACACUGGCACAGAAACACAGAGAGAGAGAGAGAAAGAGAGAGAGAAGCACACAUAUACUCAGAAGCAAACACACACACACACACACACUCAUUUACAUACAAAAAAAGUUGCAUGAGAUAAUAACAAUAGCAACAAUUGAUAAUAACAAUAUAUUCUGUAGGUGACAGAUCCGGGUAAUUUAACCCAGAGGAAGUGGUACUGUAAACCUUCUAAUAGGAGAGCCCUUUGGUUUUGUUUAGUUUGGAGAUUGAAGCCCCCGGGCUGUUCUUCUAACAGGUUUACAAUUUCCUCUAGGUUGUCUUUGGUUUGCCACUAAACCACCUAUUUGGAAUCAUGACUUGAUGACCUUGUGACACUAAACUGUGAUAUAGCAUCUUCCCUGACAAACAGGGAUGUAGUGGAGGCUAAACACAAGUGAACACAUUUUAUCCGUCUCUGAAAUGUCAGGAGUUUAUCCACCUAAGCUAAUUUUUCAUUCGACUUUUAGCUAUCCACCUCUCAAAAUAGCUACUUUUAUCAUUCGAAAAUCGCACUGUUUAUCCACAUUCACACACUCACAUUCAUAUUUACACUCUAGGAACCAUUUAAUACCACUGAUAUCGUUAUAAACAUUGGUCAAUAUACAUUAGCCUCCACCCUCAUCAAUUUUCUGAAUGCCUUUUUCAAAAUGCUGAUUCCGCAUGGCAGUCACCCUCACAGAAUUCAUAGUUUACCCAUCUCUUAUUUUACCACUACAUCCCUGCUGACAAACCCAAUUAUUUUCUGAAAGGUGGUUGAUCCCUGAAUUGAUGUGGAAAACCUGUACUAUACCAAGAUGUGUUAUUACAUAUAACACUGUUGUCAUGCUCUUACCAUUGAGUUGUUGCUGAGUAUGUUUUAGUUAGAACACCAGUUUACUUGUUAAGGUGAAUUGAGUGUCUUUAAAAUAUAUUCAUCAAGCUUAUCUAUACUACUUUUGUUUUACUGCUGUUGGAUUGUUGAAAUUAAAAUAGUCCUUGGAUGGCACAAAACAGCCACAAGGCAAUGGUAAUGGAAACACUUACUUUAUUAUAAAUAAGAGGGAAAACAAGUCAUAAAAACUUAAAAGGGGUUUUGUAUUUGCAUACUGUAUGUUUAAACUUGACAUAAAUACAUAAACAUCUGCAAGUGCUGUCAUGUACAGGGGCGGACCUGGACACUUUGAGGCCCAAGGCAAAGGAUUCCGAGGCCCCCGUCAAAAAACUGACAGGUGGAUUACACCUCCGUAACAACAUCAGCUGAUAAACACGCGUCACACUACUCCACCGUGUGACCUUCUGAUGAAGACGGAAGUAUACAUAGAAACAUGUCAAGCCGCUGGCCUCUGGAUCAGCAACCAACCUGCCCCGUGGUAUGACUGCACUUCACCCUCUGGGUCUACUGCUGUCUGACCGCACACGCUGAGUAAAGCUCACAUCCUCCACGCUGUUCAGAGGAAGACGCUGCUGCAGACUUAACUCAGAUACUCACCAAAGCUCUAAGGUACUUCAAAAAGCUGUUCAUUCAUUUCACAAUUUACCUGGUGCAAGAGUCUCGUCAUGACCAAGCUACUAUUCAUCUCAUUCUUUCUGGCAGUACUUGUCAUCAGUGUGGAGGCUAAUUGGGCCUACGACACGAUGAAAAUAUAUAACGAGGCCAUGGAGAUGAUUGGCAAGAUAGUUGGUCGAGAGAAACUUGAAGCUGCAUAUAACACAGGUUUUGAAACAGGAGCACGUGUGACUGAGGCAACAGUUAACCUUGUUAGGGACGUCAUCAGACACCUCUUUGAAUAACUUUACUAUCUGUGACCUAUUCAUUGAUGUGGAACCAACCACAUUGCUCAUCAUUAAUCUGCUACAAAGCCCAGCUAUUGUGAAGAUGGAAUACCCUGCCUCUGUAUAUCAAACAGACAAAUUCUGUAAACAUCUUUAACUACAUAAAAUACCUGAAAACA